GGGCCAGUCGUCUAGUCUGGUUAGGACAUCACCCUUACACGGUGAGGGUCGCAGGUUCAAAUCCUGCCUGGCCCACCA
rnacentral:tRNA from 1 species